rnacentral:rRNA from 1 species
UACGUAGGGUGCAAGCGUUGUCCGGAAUUAUUGGGCGUAAAGAGCUCGUAGGCGGCUUGUCGCGUCGGCUGUGAAAACCCGGGGCUCAACCCCGGGCCUGCAGUCGAUACGGGCAGACUAGAGUGCGGUAGGGGAGACUGGAAUUCCUGGUGUAGCGGUGAAAUGCGCAGAUAUCAGGAGGAACACCGGUGGCGAAGGCGGGUCUCUGGGCCGUAGCUGACGCUGAGGAGCGAAAGCGUGGGGAGCGAACAGG